rnacentral:lncRNA from 1 species
AGCCUCUGCGGCUGCGCGAGCCGGUACUGCGUCUGUAGUGAAUGGUGUCGCUCCUGCCGGCAGGCCGCAGAGUGGCCUGGAGACCACCCUUCUUCGUUCCUCGUGCUUUUGUCACCCGUGUGCCGGGCGGCAGAACUCGGUGAGGGGACAUGAGGCUUCCUGAUAAGCCUCGCAGGUUUCCCGCUGCCCAGAUAUUCCGGGUCCUCGUGGGACCCGGCCUCAGACCCUGCAGAAAUGGCGUCUUCUUGCUGCCUGCCUCUUCCUUUUACAUUUUGUUGUUAACAAAAUUGUUGGUGCGGGCUGAGGCAUAGACAAGAGCGGUUUACCUCUUCCUAGUUCUGUUCCUUUCCCUGAUUCAUAGAACCCAGCGCUGCUCGGCACCACGUGGUUGCUCAUGGCCGCGUAGGCCCAGAAUUCUUCCAAGGAGCUGCGUUCCUGUUUUUUUCAGUGCCAGUUUUAGGCACACCAAGGUGGAUAAUUUAAAAUCACCUUUGCU